rnacentral:rRNA from 1 species
UACAGAGGGUGCAAACGUUGUUCGGAAUCACUGGGCGUAAAGCGCGUGUAGGCGGCCGAUUGUGUCGAGUGUGAAAGCCCUCGGCUUAACCGAGGAAGUGCGCUCGAAACUGGUCGGCUUGAGUACCGGAGAGGGGGGUGGAAUUCCCGGUGUAGAGGUGAAAUUCGUAGAUAUCGGGAGGAACACCGGUGGCGAAGGCGGCGACCUGGGUAGAUACUGACGCUGAGGCGCGAAAGCGUGGGGAGCAAACAGG